rnacentral:rRNA from 1 species
AUUGAACGCUGGCGGAAUGCUUUACACAUGCAAGUCGAACGAUGAAGCCUAGCUUGCUAGGUCGAUUAGUGGCGAACGGGUGAGUAAUAUAUCGGAACGUAUCCAAUAAUGGGGGAUAACUAGUCGAAAGAUUGGCUAAUACCGCAUACGUCCUACGGGAGAAAGCUGGGGAUCGUAAGACCUGGCGUUAAUGGAGCGGCCGAUAUCUGAUUAGCUAGUUGGUGAGGUAAAGGCUCACCAAGGCGACGAUCAGUAGCUGGUCUGAGAGGAAGACCAGCCACACUGGAACUGGUACACGGUCCAGACUCCUACGGGAGGCAGCAGUGGGGAAUUUUGGACAAUGGGCGAAAGCCUGAUCCAGCCAUUCCGCGGGAGUGAAGAAGGCCUUCGGGUUGUAAAGCUCUUUCGCAAGGGAAGAACACUUACUUAAUAACACUAAGUGAGGUUGACGGUACCUUGAUAAGAAGCACCGGCUAACUACGUGCCAGCCGCCGCCGUAAUAC